CACGAUCACGUGGUCAUGACAGAUAACGAAUGCCGGCGUUGUUAUCGAAGAAUGCUAGUUUCCGCUUGAUUUGACAAGCAUGCCACGCGUGCCCCUUUGAUUUCGUCGUUUCAAUGGUUCUUGGCUUGAGGCAAGGCAGGCAAGUUCAACACAGUUGCAACGGCGAGAAGCAACAGCAAGACGCUGCCUGCAGUCCCGGCAUUCUCUGAAAUUUUUAUUCUGGGGGCACGUUAGAGGGCAACAAGAAACGACUCCUCUCACAUACCGACGCAUGCACGAAGACAUGUGAAGAAUGAGUUCCUGCAGCAAGGCACAAUUAUACCUUAUGCGACGCCAACUGGGGAAUUUGAGGGAAUGCCACCCCCGGAAAGAUUUUCUCCGGAUCUGUUGGAUUGGCCAAGACGACGCGGAGGCCUUUAGGACGAGAGAAUGCGAACCUCUUCAUAACCCCUGCAGCUACAUUGAAUGGCUGCUGAACGUCGGCGGCGUGAACUGAGCUCAGCGAGCCGCGAGUGUCCACUCCGGACAACUGUAGUGAACUCCAAGAGGACAGCGGUUGCACUUGCUCACCGCCUUCCAUCGACACCUCAUGUACUGGCGCAUGACACGUCCAGCAGUGCACAAACUUCACUGCUCUCAUCGGUGCAGUUGGAAGCACACAGUGGUGCUUACGCAAAGCCCAACGCCUUGGAGGUCUGGUCGCACGCCUUCACCCGUUGAUGCACCACGUGGGUGUGGUGGUUGUCUCAGGAUAGGCAGCGAAAACGCACGCAGGACGUCUAGGCCUUGGAAUCCGUCUCCGAUGCUUUGGUACUACAUCUGGGAACAGCAGCAUAGCUACCGCGCUGCGUCACACCGGUCGCCACGUCGUGUGCAGCAAUGGCUGCAAGACCGCGCGAACCUUGGCGAUUUAGCAAGCAUCAUCGCGGGUGUCAAACUGCUGUUACGAGAGCCCUUUCAGUGAACUGUAGCGCACUUUUCUGUCGGCUCACCCACACUGUGAACUCGCUGAUCACUAUCAUUCUUUUAAAUUCAGUCAUCUGGUCAUUUCCUGGGGAUGUCUCCUUCACAAUAAACCACUCAUAGAGCAAGACUUGCA